UCACUCAGAGGCAUGUGAUAAGAUCGCCUGGCUGCUUUUUCCUAUGGGGGUAACCCUGUGCCUACAGAAAUGGUUGUCUCUCUGCAGGGGUCCCCCAGCUUCUUCUGGGUGUUCCCAGGACACAGUGGUGGCCCCCAGUGAACCAUGCCUUCAGGUAUUCACAUCAUGUGUGGUCCCCACCCCUUGAAUUUGAGCUGCACUUGUGACUUGAUUUAACUACUAGAAGUCUACAGAUGUGAUAUUCCUCUACUUCUAUUUUUGUGAUCCUUGGCUCUACAUGGAAAAGAGAAAAGUCACCUCUGCUUCCCAACAGAGUCCUGCCCCAGCUAACCUACCAACUGAAUACAAUCACAGGCCAGAACAGCAGAGGAGCUGCCAACGGAGCCCAACCCAUAAAACAGAACUGUCAGCAAUUAAAAUGACUGAUGUAUUCAGCCACUA